rnacentral:lncRNA from 1 species
UAUUGAAUUUGAAUAUGAAUGAUGUGUAUGCAAGUUGAGUUGUGUGUAACACCAAGAACGGGUGGCGUUGGCCAGUCUGUAUGAAUGGAAGUUGAAAACAAGGAAUGAUGAUAAGAAUCAAUUUGUGUAGGAUUGAAAGUUGAUAAGAUUGUACGGCGGUAUGACGAUGUAGAUGAGACAAGAGGUAAUGUCGGUUAGGCAAGCGCCGGUUUGGAAAGUGUCGGUUUGGUGAGUGCCGGAUUAGCAAAC